UUGAAUUUUGCUUUGAAUACAGGCAGGUUUCUGGUAGCAGAUGACGGUGCCUUCUUGUUCUUCCCGCUGCUACCACCGAGGAUACGCAGACUCUGUCUCAAGAGGACUCAUUUUUUCAUUCAAUGAAGCGAAAUGAUUAUUUUAGUUGGUGAAGAAAGCUCCACAUUGCGGCAUUGCAGACGUUAUUUAUAUAAUAGUGGCCAAAAGCGUCUUCACUUAUCGUCUUAUCCUAACACACUACAGUAAAAAUUUCGAAUGUCUUAUAACAAAAACUAAUAACACUUAGACUUCAUGGUAAUUAUUCUUCUUUGUCCUGA